UCAAGUGACUAAGUGCAUGUGGCGGAUGCCUUGGCGAUCACAGGCGAAGAAAGACGCGGCAGCCUGCGAAAAGCUGCGGGGAGCUGGCAAACGAGCUUUGAUCCGCAGAUAUCUGAAUGGGGGAACCCACACCGCAAGGUGUAUCCGUAGCUGAAUACAUAGGUUACGGAGGCGAACGAGGAGAACUGAAACAUCUAAGUAUCCUCAGGAAAAGAAAUCAACCGAGAUUCCGGCAGUAGCGGCGAGCGAACCCGGAGGAGCCUAGCUUUUGAUAGUACGAACUUUAGCCGAAAGGUCCUGGAAAGGCCUGCUAUAGUGGGUGAUAGCCCCGUAGGCGAAAGAGUUGGUACGGUACUAAGGAAGCGAGAAGUAGAGCGGGACACGUGGAAUCCUGUUCGAAGACGGGGGGACCAUCCUCCAAGGCUAAAUACUCGUGAUCGACCGAUAGUGAACCAGUACCGUGAGGGAAAGGCGAAAAGAACCCCGGGAGGGGAGUGAAAUAGAACCUGAAACCGCAUGCAUACAAACAGUAGGAGCCUCGUCAGAGGUGACUGCGUACCUUUUGCAUAAUGGGUCAGCGACUUACAUUCUGUGGCGAGCUUAACCGAAUAGGGGAGGCGCAGCGAAAGCGAGUUCGAAAUGAGCGUUCAGUCGCAGGGUGUAGACCCGAAACCAGAUGAGCUAUCCAUGGCCAGGUUGAAGGUGUGGUAACACACACUGGAGGACCGAACCGACUAGUGUUGCAAAAUUAGCGGAUGAGCUGUGGAUAGGGGUGAAAGGCCAAACAAAUCUGGAGAUAGCUGGUUCUCCCCGAAAACUAUUGAGGUAGUGCCUCGUGUGUCGCUCCAGGGGGUAGAGCACUGUUUUGGCUAGGGGGACAUGGAGUCUUACCAAACCAAGGCAAACUCCGAAUACCUGGAAGCGUAAGCACGGGAGACAGAGCACCGGGUGCUAACGUCCGGACUCAAAAGGGAAACAACCCAGACCGCCGGCUAAGGUCCCAAAUAACAGCUAAGUGGAAAACGAAGUGGAAAGGCCGUGACAACCAGGAAGUUGGCUUAGAAGCAGCCAUCCUUCAAAGAAAGCGUAAUAGCUCACUGGUCGAGUCCUUCUGCGCGGAAGAUGUAACGGGGCUAAGCUGUUAACCGAAGCCGCGGAUGCGCUGGUUAUCCAGUGCGUGGUAGGGGAGCGUUCUGUAAGUCUGCGAAGGCGGUUCGAGAGGACUGCUGGAGAUAUCAGAAGUGCGAAUGCUGACAUGAGUAACGUUAAAGCAGGUGAAAAGCCUGCUCGCCGUAAGCCCAAGGAUUCCUGCUCUACGUUCAUCGGAGCAGGGUGAGUCGGCUCCUAAGGUCAGGCCGAAAGGCGUAGCCGAUGGGAAUCAGGUUAAUAUUCCUGAACCUGCGUCAGAUGCGAUGGGGGGACGGAGCAUGGAAGAUCAUCCGGGUGUUGGAAGUCCCGGUUGUUUAGCGUAGGAGGUCUGCAGGCAAAUCCGCAGACGCAUCUCCAAGGCAAAGACACGUGCCGCUACGGCGGCGAAGUGAUCGGAAGUGCUUCCAAGAAAAGCCUCUAAGCUUCAGUCUGACGCGGACCGUACCGCAAACCGACACUGGUGGGCGAGCUGAAUAUGCUCAGGCGCUUGAGAGAACUCGGGAGAAGGAACUCGGCAAAUUGACACCGUAACUUCGGAAGAAGGUGUGCCGUAGUACCGUGAGAGGAGAGACACCUUGAGCGGGAAACGGUCUCAGAGAAUAGGUGGCUGCGACUGUUUAUUAAAAACACAGCACUCUGCAAAGUCGAAAGACGACGUAUAGGGUGUGAUGCCUGCCCGGUGCUGGAAGAUUAAUUGAUGGGGUGAGAGCCCUUGAUCGAAGUCCCAGUAAACGGCGGCCGUAACUAUAACGGUCCUAAGGUAGCGAAAUUCCUUGUC
rnacentral:rRNA from 1 species